UACGUAGGGACCAAGCGUUGUUCGGAUUUACUGGGCGUAAAGGGCGCGUAGGCGGCGUGGUAAGUCACUUGUGAAAUCUCUGAGCUUAACUCAGAACGGCCAAGUGAUACUGAUGUGCUAGAGUGCAGAAGGGGCAACCGGAAUUCUUGGUGUAGCGGUGAAAUGCGUAGAUAUCAAGAGGAACACCUGAGGUGAAGACGGGUUGCUGGGCUGACACUGACGCUGAGGCGCGAAAGCUAGGGUAGCAAACGGGG
rnacentral:rRNA from 1 species